CAACGGUUCCAUUUUCGGUAUGAACGAGUUGUCCUUUCCGUCCAACCUUCGUCACAAAGUUCGGUAUCGCCGCGUGUUUGAAAUGAAUCUGUUUUAUUGAAGCAGAUGAAAGCAGCACGUGGGCUUAAGAUGUUGUUCAAUACUCACUUUGAGGUCUCCGGAAGAGUGCAAGUGCACCAAGGAGAAAGCGGAGGAGCUGGAGCUCAGAGGCUGGGUCCGCAACACCUCUAAGGGCACCGUCGAAGGUGUGGUGCAGGGAGAGAGGGAGAAGGUUAACGAGAUGAAGGGAUGGCUGAGCAGUGUCGGAAGUCCUCACUCGAGCAUCUCCAAGUGCGUCUUUUCAGAUGAGAGAGACGUCCAAAGUCCCGAAUACUCAAACUUCGCAAUCAGGAAGACGACCUGAAUUAAGGUAUAGAUUUUGGACAUGUCAUGCUGUAGUGGAGUCUUCAAAACUUCUUCCCUGGUUGUCAUGGUAGGAGGGUGGAUUAGACAAACCUAACAAACUAGCAUUCACAUUAAUAAUGUGCGCUGUAUAAAUAAAUCCCCUUGUGCUCAUCAA